rnacentral:rRNA from 1 species
UACGUAGGGUGCGAGCGUUGUCCGGAAUUAUUGGGCGUAAAGAGCUCGUAGGCGGCCUGUUGCGUCCGCUGUGAAAUCCCGGGGCUUAACCCCGGGCUUGCAGUGGAUACGGGCAGGCUGGAGGCAGGCAGGGGAGAACGGAAUUCCCGGUGUAGCGGUGAAAUGCGCAGAUAUCGGGAAGAACACCCGUGGCGAAGGCGGCUCUCUGGGACGGUACUGACGCUGAGGCGCGAAAGCUAGGGGAGCAAACAGG